UAGUGAAUACUUGUGUGUGACUACUAGCU
rnacentral:piRNA from 1 species